rfam:Synechococcus WH7803 complete genome sequence.
GGGUGAAGUUCAGUCCGGAUACUCUAGGGGUCCCGGCCCGGAUGAGGCCGAUCCUGUC